CCUACGGGAGGCAGCAGUGAGGAAUAUUGGUCAAUGGACGAGAGUCUGAACCAGCCAAGUAGCGUGAAGGAUGACUGCCCUAUGGGUUGUAAACUUCUUUUAUAAAGGAAUAAAACGAGGCACGUGUGCCUUUUUGCAUGUACUUUAUGAAUAAGGAUCGGCUAACUCCGUGCCAGCAGCCGCGGUAAUACGGGGGAUCCGAGCGUUAUCCGAAUUUAUUGGGUUUAAAGGGAGCGUAGAUGGGUUGUUAAGUCAGUUGUGAAAGUUUGCGGCUCAACCGUAAAAUUGCAAUUGAUACUGGCAGUCGUGAGUACAGUUGAGGUAGGCGGAAUUCGUGGUGUAGCGGUGAAAUGCUUAGAUAUCACGAAGAACCCCGAUUGCGAAGGCAGCUUACUAAACUGUGACUGACAUUGAUGCUCGAAAGUGUGGGUAUCAAACAGGAUUAGAUACCCCAGUAGUC
rnacentral:rRNA from 1 species